rnacentral:rRNA from 1 species
AAUCAACGCUGGCGGCGUGCCUAACACAUGCAAGUCGAACGCGAAAGGGACUUCGGUCCUGAGUAGAGUGGCGAACGGGUGAGUAACGCGUGAGGAACCUGCCUUCGACAGGGGGAUAACACUCCCAACGGGGUGCUAAUACCGCAUGAGACCACGGGGCUGCAUGGCCCUGAGGUCAAAGAUGGCCUCUAUUUAUAAGCUAUCGGUCGAAGAUGGCCUCGCGUCCCAUUAGCUAGUUGGCGGUGUAAAAGACCACCAAGGCGACGAUGGGUAGCUGGUCUGAGAGGACGACCAGCCACACUGGGACUGAGACACGGACCCGACUCCUACGGGAGGCAGCAGUAAGGAAUAUUGGUCAAUGGACGGAAGUCUGAACCAGCCAUCCCGCGUGCAGGAUGACUGCCCUAUGGGUUGUAAACUGCUUUUAGCAGAGACGAAACGCCUUCAUUUAUGAGGGUCUGACGGUAUCUGCAGAAUAAGCACCGGCUAA